rnacentral:rRNA from 1 species
AGUGAACGCUGGCGGUAGGCCUAACACAUGCAAGUCGAACGGCAGCACAGUAAGAGCUUGCUCUUACGGGUGGCGAGUGGCGGACAGGUGAGGAAUACAUCGGAAUCUACUUUUUCGUGGGGGAUAACGUAGGGAAACUUACGCUAAUACCGCAUACGACCUACGGGUGAAAGCAGGGGAUCUUCGGACCUUGCGCGAUUGAAUGAGCCGAUGUCGGAUUAGCUAGUUGGCGGGGUAAAGGCCCACCAAGGCGACGAUCCGUAGCUGGUCUGAGAGGAUGAUCAGCCACACUGGAACUGAGACACGGUCCAGACUCCUACGGGGGGCAGCAGUGGGGAAUAUUGGACAAUGGGCGCAAGCCUGAUCCAGCCAUACCGCGUGGGUGAAGAAGGCCUUCGGGUUGUAAAGCCCUUUUGUUGGGAAAGAAAAGCAGCAGGUUAAUACCCCGCUGUUCUGACGGUACCCAAAGAAUAAGCACCGGCUAACUUCGUG